rnacentral:rRNA from 1 species
UCGAACGAUGAACCGGUUUCGGCCGGGGAUUAGUGGCGAACGGGUGAGUAACACGUGGGCAAUCUGCCCUGCACUCUGGGACAAGCCCUGGAAACGGGGUCUAAUACCGGAUACUGACCUUCACGGGCAUCCGUGGGGGUCGAAAGCUCCGGCGGUGCAGGAUGAGCCCGCGGCCUAUCAGCUUGUUGGUGAGGUAAUGGCUCACCAAGGCGACGACGGGUAGCCGGCCUGAGAGGGCGACCGGCCACACUGGGACUGAGACACGGCCCAGACUCCUACGGGAGGCAGCAGUGGGGAAUAUUGCACAAUGGGCGGAAGCCUGAUGCAGCGACGCCGCGUGAGGGAUGACGGCCUUCGGGUUGUAAACCUCUUUCAGCAGGGAAGAAGCGAAAGUGACGGUACCUGCAGAAGAAGCGCCGGCUAACUACGUGCCAGCAGCCGCGGUAAUACGUAGGGCGCAAGCGUUGUCCGGAAUUAUUGGGCGUAAAGAGCUCGUAGGCGGCUUGUCGCGUCGGUUGUGAAAGCCCGGGGCUUAACCCCGGGUCUGCAGUCGAUACGGGCAGGCUAGAGUUCGGUAGGGGAGAUCGGAAUUCCUGGUGUAGCGGUGAAAUGCGCAGAUAUCAGGAGGAACACCGGUGGCGAAGGCGGAUCUC